rnacentral:rRNA from 1 species
GAUGAACGCUGGCGGCGUGCCUAAUACAUGCCAGUCGAGCGAACAGACGAGGAGCUUGCUCCUCUGACGUUAGCGGCGGACGGGUGAGUAACACGUGGAUAACCUACCUAUAAGACUGGGAUAACUUCGGGAAACCGGAGCUAAUACCGGAUAAUAUAUUGAACCGCAUGGUUCAAUAGUGAAAGACGGUUUUGCUGUCACUUAUAGAUGGAUCCGCGCCGCAUUUGCUAGUUGGUAAGGUAACGGCUUACCAAGGCAACGAUGCGUAGCCGACCUGAGAGGGUGAUCGGCCACACUGGAACUGAGACACGGUCCAGACUCCUACGGGAGGCAGCAGUAGGGAAUCUUCCGCAAUGGGCGAAAGCCUGACGGAGCAACGCCGCGUGAGUGAUGAAGGUCUUCGGAUCGUAAAACUCUGUUAUUAGGGAAGAACAAAUGUGUAAGUAACUAUGCACGUCUUGACGGUACCUAAUCAGAAAGCCACGGCUAACUACGUG